UUGAGUACACAAGACAGGGCAAGGGUAGAGGAAGAGAACGAAAGGGAGAGGGAAAGAGUAGAGAGGAGAAAGAGAAAAAAAACACCGAGAGAGGGAGACGCGAAAAGCAAAUGCAAAUAGAAAUAAGAUAGAGAAAAAAAGCGAGAAGACACAUGACUUGCUGAAGACAGCGACUAGAGCAAUGGUACGAGAUUGUGACCAGGAAAUGAGGGGAGAACUCAUGGAAAACAUACGCAAGAAACGAAGUCAGGGAGAUUACUGUUGUAGAAUAAGCAAAGAAGUAGAAAUCGAUAAUAAGUGAAAAACUGAAACGUAGUAAUACAUAUGCUAGAGGCAUGAAGAUCAUUACACGAGUGAGGGAAAAUGAUAUACAAUGCGAGGGAUAGGCAUAAGGAACUGAAAGAACCCAUUUGAGAAGAGAACACGCAAGAAAAGAACACUGACUCAGCAAAGGCGACAGAGGAGAUGCGUGUAAUUCACUACAGGAAAGGAACUAGAGAAACAGACAAGCACUGUUCACUUAAAAACUUUUUUUUUUUUUUUGCCUGUCACAAAGAAAUGAGAAGAGAGAGAGAAGUAAUCCAGAAGAGGCACUUACCGUGAUACAACCAAGUGAUUUAUUAAAGAGUGAACGUUUUCUGGGUAUAAACCCCGCCCUCAGACUCCUGCAAAAGCAAACAGUGUAGGAUUACUUCUCUACAUAUGUCUGAGAGCACCCCGGCUUUAUCACGGAUCUAGCUAGUUCUGUCAUGAAAUUCUUUGGCACGGAAAGAGCUCCCCUAAUGGCUUACCGGCAAUGUUUGUUCAGGACCAGCAAGUCGCUGCAGCUCUUGAACAGGAAUAAGAACAGUAAACACCUCAAGAUUUUUAUAUAAAAUGCUUAGUUAUGCCUAAUAAAACAACUUUGCAAUAUA